rnacentral:rRNA from 1 species
CCCCUAGAUGUUCUGGGCCGCACGCGCGCUACACUGAACAGUUCAACAAGUCUUAACCUUGGCCGAUAGGUCUGGGUAAUCUUUGAACGCUGUUCGUGAUUGGGAUAGACCUUUGCAAUUAUGGGUCUUCAACGAGGAAUUCCUAGUAAACGCAAGUCAUCAGCUUGCAUUGAUUACGUCCCUGCCCUUUGUACACACCGCCCGUCGCACCUACCGAUUGAAUGGUCCGGUGAAAUCUCGGGACGGCGGCUUGGUCGCUUGCGUCCGACUGCUGAAACUUGAUUAAACCAUAUCAUUUAGAGGAAGUUGAAGUCGUAACA